rnacentral:ncRNA from 1 species
AGGUAGGUGAGGAGAGAAUCCUAAGGCCAUCGGAAGAAUUGCUGUUAAGGAACUCGGCAAAUUGACCCCGUAACUUCGGGAGAAGGGGUGCCUACGAAAGUAGGCCGCAGAGAAUAGGCCCAAGCAACUGUUUAGCAAAAACACAGGUCUCUGCUAAAGCGAAAGCUGAUGUAUAGGGGCUGACGCCUGCCCGGUGCUGGAAGGUUAAGGGGAACACUUAGCGUAAGCGAAGGUGUGAACUUAAGCCCCAGUAAACGGCGGCCGUAACGAUAACGGUCCUAAGGUAGCGAAAUUCCUUGUCGGGUAAGUUCCGACCCGCACGAAUGGCGUAAUGAUUUGGGCACUGUCUCAACAGCAAAUCCGGCGAAAUUGUAGUGCAAGUGAAGAUGCUGGCUACCCGCGAUUGGACGGAAAGACCCCGUAGAGCUUUACUGUAGCUUAGCAUUGAAUCUCGGUAUUGUCUGUACAGGAUAGGUGGGAGACUUGGAAGCUUGGGCGUCAGCCUGAGUGGAGUCAUCCUUGGGAUACCACCCUGACAGUACUGGGGUUCUAACCGGAGGCCAUGAAUCUGGUCACGGGACAUUGUUAGGUGGGCAGUUUGACUGGGGCGGUCGCC